AUUGAACGCUGGCGGCAUGCCUUACACAUGCAAGUCGAACGGCAGCACGGGUGCUUGCACCUGUUGGCGAGUGGCGAACGGGUGAGUAAUACAUCGGAACAUGUCCUGUAGUGGGGGAUAGCCCGGCGAAAGCCGGAUUAAUACCGCAUACGAUCUACGGAUGAAAGCGGGGGACCUUCGGGCCUCGCGCUGUUGGGUUGGCCGAUGGCGGAUUAGCUCGUUGGUGGGGUAAAGGCCUACCAAGGCGACGAUCAGUAGCUGGUCUGAGAGGACGACCAGCCACACUGGGGCUGGGACACGGCCCAGACUCCUACGGGAGGCAGCAGUGGGGAAUUUUGGACAAUGGGCGAAAGCCUGGUCCAGCAAUGCCGCGUGUGUGAAGAAGGCCUUCGGGUUGUAAAGCACUUUUGUCCGGAAAGAAAUCCUUGGCCCUAAUACGGUCGGGGGAUGACGGUACCGGAAGAAUAAGCACCGGCUAACUACGUG
rnacentral:rRNA from 1 species